AGCCGCAAUUCUCAAAAGAACGAACCCACCCCCUUGUCAUCAUCUUCUUCGGCCCUCUCCAUUCUUCUGCCAUAGAACACAUACAACACAAUUCUGUUUCUGUAAUUAAAGCGUCAUCAUCACCAUCUUCCUUCAUUCUCUAAGCUUAAAAUCAUAAAUGAGUUACAAAUCAAAAUGGAUUGAAUAGGGUCUCCAGAUUUAAAUCUCAUUCGAAGUUCUUGUUAGUGGUGGUAUCGUCGAGCGUUAUGAUUUAUUUGUCUUGAUCCAGAUUCGAAAUACAACUGGGUGCUAUUGUUAGAUUUUAUUUCAGGGUUCAAAUCGGAUCGACAUCCUUGCUGUAUAAGUUUUUUCUUACUUAAUCAAAAUCAAGAGGAUUUUUUGCCCAAGAAAGGUCUAAUUCUCUUCUCUUACUCCUUGCAUAUUAUUCCUUUUUUUUACUUAUAAAUGACCUUAUGAAAUCAUCUUGUGGUUGAUAUUAUCAGUUGUGUGGUGUAUUUUUUAGCGAAAUAGUUGCUACAUUUGGAAUAACUGCCUCUAUUAACGUUUUCCAUCUAAUUCUUAUUCUUGUGUUCUUUUUUUCUUUUGUUGUGUAAUUCUAUUUCUCUCUCAAUUAAUGAGUUACUUCUCUAUGAUGGGCUAUCAUAUUAUAUUGUUUAUGUGAUUUCUUCAUUGCUUUAGAUAAAUUAGAUUCUUUUCGUGUGAUUCAAAGCCAUUGAUUGACAGGUUAUAUAGGUAUGAUAUUCUUUUAUAUAGGAUUUUUUUCGUGUGAUUCAAGCCAUUGAUUGAUAGGUUAUAUAUGUACGAUAUUCUUUUAUAUAUUGUAGAAAGAUUCAAUCUUCUUAGCAAAAUGAGUAAUGAAGAUAUCACAUCCAGCAAAUGGCUGUUAGACGAUUAGUUUAAGAAAAAUAAUUAAUGAAUAUCCGUUGCUUGCUUUAGGCGCGAUUGAUGAACCAUUGUGACUAUGGGUAUGGUUCCCGUGAUAUAGUUAUGGUACCUAAUUUCUUAAACUCGGGUGUGCAUUUCAUGUGACCCAAAUCCGAAUCUCAACAACGUUAAAUAAAAUGUGUCAUGGAUCGUGGGUGCAUUUCAUGUGACGUGGUUCAAGAUGUGUUUUAGAUAACGUCGAAUCUUCCUAAAAUUAAUUAAAAGCGGAUAAUAAGUUAAAAAUGUAACAUAGGCUAAAACAUGUAUUAAAAUCAAAUAAUAAGCCAAUUAUGAUUGUUUAAGCCCAUGCUCGAACCACAGAAUCUGGGGGUGCCUAACACCUUCCCUCGGGUUAACAGAAUUCCUUAUUCAGAAUUUUUGAUUUGCAGACUUCACAAGGAAAGUCAAAUUUUCCUCGAUUUGGGAUUUAAAAUAAAAAGGCGACUUUGGACACCAGAAAAUCCAAGUGGUCGCUCUGAAUAAAAUUAAAUAAAUAAUCUCAUUUCGAAUAAUAUCACUUAAAUUGGAAAAACCCCCUUAUGCACUAUCUUUUGGUGUGUAUGUAAAAAGGAGGUGUGAUAAACGCAGACGCAGUAAAAACGUAUUAUGUCUAUGCUCUUUGAAACAAUGACUUUGUUCAAGGCUUUCAUUUCUGCUAUCCAAACACUAUCAACCCUUUGUCAAACCCAUUUGAGCCGGUUACUUUUCUUUGGUUACUCUCUGGAACCCAAAAGUGUUGUUAAAAAAAAAAAUAACGAACAAAGAAAAAACAAAAAAAAGUGAACAAAAUUGAAAAAAUAACAAAUCAAAAAAUAAAAACAAAAGAAAAUCAAAAACAAAGUUUUACCGAACUACGUCUGACUUGAUUCCGAAAGGAUACGUAGGCAGCCUUUCUCUGGGGUUCUAUCAUACCAGUACAAAAAUCCCAAUUCCCCCCCCCCACCCCUAAUAACAAAACUGGGGCAGAUGAUAUAAUGGUUUGGCCAAAAGCCCACCACCAUGGUUCCAAAGUUGUAAUUUCAUCCAAAUUCCUUUCACCCAAAACCCUUCCAAGUCAUUCCGAUCAAUUGGUAAAGGCCUCAGAAUGGGAAAACUCCGUUGUUGGAGGCCGGUGCAACCAAACUAAGAGAAACAAAAUGAGAGAGUCUUAUUGGUGAAAUCAUACGGGCACCAUAAGGCGACGAUGAGUAGAGAAAUUGAAAAUGAGAGUGUCCGCUUAGUGAAAACUCGCAAAGAGCACUAUCGGGCGACGGUGAGAAGAGAAAGGAGAGAUGUCGAUUGGCGAAAACCCUAAAAGGGCAUCAUCAGCCGAAAAGAAGAUUGUUCAUCAUCGAAAGUCCUGGCAAGACUCCCUGGUUUUUGAAAUACGGGUUAAUGAGCUUAUGAGAAGCAGGGAAAAGUUUGUGCAAGUCGGGCAUCCAGCCUAAGAAGCAUGUCAUGUCUAUUUGAAGUCCGCAUGCACCCCAGAUUAGUCCUUAUUUUCUCCCCGAAAGGGAUGUUUUUCUUUAAUUUCAUUUUCUUACGUCACAUACUUUCCUUGAAUCCCUUUCGUUUUAACUCUGUCCCCCCGAACUAAUACAAAGAAAAGGUGGCAAGAUUGGAUUUACAGAGCUCUGCCUAACAAAAGCCGCCAAGGGAUAUCCAACCUCAGCGGGCGUAUCUAGCCAGUGCCGACUGGACAUGAUGGCUGAUGCUUCGAAAGCAAAGUGGUUGAAAAGAAAGGAAAUCAAAGUCAAAUGCUCAUAAAGGCAAAAUGAAGUUAAAAGGUUGAGUCCCAUAGGGCUAAUUGCCUUGGCAAUGUUUUCAAACGCCAAUGUACCAGAAGUUUGAAUAAAGAAGUCAAAAAAAAUGAAAGGACUACGAAGGCAAAAUAAAUCUGAAAGUUGAGUUCCACCGACCAACUAUCAAGGAAAAGUCUGGAAAAUCAGAGGUUCUUAACAGAAGCAAGGCCGAGAUCAAGCAAUCAAGGCCACAAAACCAACCACCGUUUCAAACUAACAAUUGUUCUUUGUUUGCAAAUUGAAACAAAUGCAAUUCAAGCAACCAGGCAAAAGCAGGUGCAGCCCCAAAAGAAAUGCACAGGUGCUAGGGACGGCUUCACAGCGACAAUAAGCCAAAAAGGGAAGUUUUCUUCAAAUUCUUUCACGCAGUUUUAAUAAAAGAGGAAAUAAAAAAGGAAUAUAACAAGAUCAAGGUAGCAUAGGUUCGCCAAUCUCUAGCUACAUCAUCCCCAAACCUAGGACCACAUUCCCUAGUUUUACCUAGCAUAACCUAUGGACCUCCCCAGCAUAACCCGAGGAUCUUUUCUUUUCCUCCUGACAUAGCCCGAGGGAUAUUUUUCCUUUUUCCCCGCAUAACCUGAGGAUCUUUUCUUUACCUCCCCGGCAUAACCCGAGGGUCAUUUUCCUUUUAUCCCCAGCAUAACCUGAGGAUCUUUUUUCUUUCUCCCAAGCAUAACUUGAGGAUCUUUAAUUUUCCUCCCCGGCAUAACCCGAGGGUCAUUUUCCAUCUAUUCCCAGCAGACCUCCUUUUUCCUCUAUCCCGGCAUAACAUGUGGAUCCUCCUGGCAUUACCCAGGAGCCUUUUCUUCUAUCCCAGCAUAACCCAUGGAUCCUCUCUGGUAUAACCCAGAAGCCUUUUUCUUCCUAUCCCGGCAUAGCCCGUGGAUCUCCCUGGCAUAACCUAGGGACCUUCUUCUUCUAUCCCGGCAUAACCCGUGGAUCCUCCCUGGCAUAACCCAGGAACCUUUUCUAUCCCAGCAUAACCCAUGGAUCCUCCCUGGCAUAACCUAAGGACCCUUUUUUUUCCCCGGCAUAACCCACAGAUCUUCCCUGGCAUAACCCAAGGACCUUUUUCUUUUAUCCCGGCAUAACCCGUGGAUCUCCUUGACAUAACCCAAGGACAUUUUUCCUCUAUCCUAGCAUAUCACAGGAGCCUUUUCUCCUAUACCGGCAUAACCCGUGGAUCCUCCCUGGCAUAACACAGGACCCAUUUCUUAUCCCGACAUAACCCGUGGAUCUCCCUGGCUAACCCAAGGAUCUUUUUCCUCUAUCUCGCAUAACCCAUAGAUCCUCCCUGGAAUAACCCAGGAGCCUUUUCCUCUAUCCCGGCAUAACUGGAUCCUCUCUGGCAUAACCCAGGACCCUUUUCUUAUCCCGUCAUAACACGUGAAUCUCCUUGCAUAACCUAAGGACAUUUUUUCUCUAUCCCGACAUAACCCAUGGAUCCUCCCUAGCAUAACCCAUGAGCCUUUUCUCCUAUCCCGGCAUAAAAUGUGGGUCCUCUCUGGCAUAACCAAUGACCCUUUUCUUCUAUCCCGGCAUAACCUGUGGAUCCUCUCUUGCAUAAGCCAUGAAUUUUUUCUUAUCUCGACAUAACCCGUAGAUCUCUGUGGCAUAACCCAAGGAACUUUUUCUCUAUCCCGACAUAACUCGUGGACUUUCUAUUUAUCCCCUAGCAGGAACCCUUUUCAAUCCCGGCAUAACCCAUAUAUCUAAGAUUUCACUCCCAAGAAUACAGAAUCCUGAUUUUUAUUAUUCUCAAGGAAUAAUAGUUUAGAUUUUUGCGUUGCAAAUAACUCACAAAAUUUUCCUAACAAACUGGGGAAGAACAAUUUCGUUCGUUUAUUUGUUUUGGUGUCUGAACAAGUUUUUACCUCAAGGCACAUGAUUCGAGAUGACGGGAGGGGUGAAUCUUUCAUACAGAAUAAAAGAAAAGAAGAAAAGAACAAGAAAAAAGAAGUGCACUCAAAGAGUUUGAGAAAGGAAAGGAUGCAGAUUGCUCGAAUUUGAUUCAAGAUCACAAGAUUCGCAUGUCCCACUCUGAUCCAUUGCUGAAGAAAGAACCAGGACCUACAGCUUACGAGUAUCAAGAUUCAGGUCAGGCAUCCACAGUCAGCUAAGACUCAAGAUCAAGCUUCAAGAAAUUCAUAAGUAGGAAUCUUGUAAUUCGUAGUUGAUAGACAUAGCUAGCUUAGCUUUUGAUUUUCCUUUUGGAUGUAAUAAAGAGGUCAGCAAGCAGUAGCAGUAGCAACAGCAGUGAAAUCACAACUCGUGGUAGUCCCAACUACCAAAACUUCCAGAACUACACUGACCUAAUUCCUUUAUAGCCAGGGAUAUGUAGGCAACUUCUGAAACAAGGUUCAGUCAGACCUUUUCAAAAAUGUUUCUCAUGGAGUGCCAAGCAGGCAAAAAUCCUUCAUAAUUGCUCAUUUCUCUUUACUCGAAAACCCUUUGUGUCUCCAAACAAAGAGGGAACGCUGUGAGCACAUGAUUGUCUAUAGACCUCUUAAAAUUAGGAUUUUUUUAUUUUAUUUUUAGGAUUUAGUUGCAUAAUUUUGUGUGUAUUUUUAUUUGUGUGAGCACGUUUAGUUUUAAAUAAUUCACAAAAAAAAUACAUAAUAUUACAUUUGCAUUUAGGACCCAAUUUUAAUAUUUUUAGGUUUACUAGUUAAUUAACAGUACGAAAAUUAAGGAAAAUAACAAAAAAAAUAGUUCUUUUGCAUUUUUACUUUUAAUUUUUUAAUUUGUCAUAGUUUUCUUUUAAAACUAGGAUAUAAUUAAUUUUUGGAAAAAAUAAUUAGUUUAAUGUCGGAAUUAAAUCAAGUCUUUAAGUUUAAUUUGUAUUCAACCAAAAAUUUGAAAAAAUGAAAAAUGAGAAAAUAAAAAGAAAUUAAAAGAAUUGGGUUUUGUCUUAUUAAAAGACUCUAAAUUUAGGCCAAACUCAAUUCCAGCCCAAAAUAUUGCCCAAACCCGUCGAACGCAGCCCAUGCCCAACCUUAAAGCCACCCGGUCCGACCCUUAAUAACUUAAACGACAUUGUUUCGUGGGGUUAAAUCAGGACCGUCGAGGUUCUUGAUCGGACGGUCUUGAAGCUUGGUUUCCUUAAUAUAUAUAUAUAUAUAUAUAUAUAUAUAUGUAUGUAUAUAUAUAUAUAUGUAUGUAUGUAUAUAUAUAUAUAUAUAUAUAUAUGUCCAAACGACCCCUACCCCCCCAAGACCUCCUGCCCUCUCAUCUCUCAGACCCCAAACACUAACUCCGCCACCUACCACUACAAACUGCCGGCCGAAAAUCGUCUCUGCCGGCGGCGAUUUCCUAAUGACUCCCAAAUUAACACCACUUGAACAUCUCGUCCUCCUCUUUCCAAAUCCACGCUCCAUUUCCUUCAAAUCCCACCAUAGCUCAUUGAAUCUUAGCCAGAAGCACCGACUCCAUCGCCGUGCAUGGCAGCACAACCACCCAAAUAAACACCAUAGGUUCUCCUAGUCAUCCUCACCAUGAAUCUGCUAUCAUCUCCCUUAAAAUAACACCCAAUCCCUUCGAAUAUUUGAUUUAAAGGAGGCGGCCAAAACCUUACCACCUCUAAAUCACUCCAAAUUAACAUCGGAGGACUCCUGACCUUCUCUCACUCCAAAUUCUCAUCCAUAAUCCAUAGAAAGUUCCCCAAAUCUCUCAAAUUUCAAAUCACAAAAAGCAGAACCCUAGGGCAUGCAUUUUCUGGGGCCAUGUUUUCAGUGUCACGAAGUCUAGAGUUUGAUUUAGUCACGAAAUCAUGUUUUCUGUUUGUUCUUGGCAAAGAACAAAUGAUUAACAUUAUAUUUGACUCAAAUCGGAAUGCAACCAUGUUCAAGUGCAUUUGGCGAGUUUUUCUUAAUUUGUUUAGAUCCAUUCUUCCUCUUUUCCUCUUCAAAGUACGAUGUCUCCUUGCCUCUAUGUGUGAUCAAUUUGUGCAUCGAUUUUUUGCUUGCCGGUUUUCUUAAAUUCUUUUGAGUCUUAAUUUCUUCUUCUCUGUUCAUACUAAUAACAUGAUUUUUGUAUUUUAGUUAAUUUUUGUUUGUUUCUUAAUUUUCUGUUUGACUGAUAAUCGAUAAUAGUAGUCUUUAAUUCUGACUUUUAAAGCUUAAAAUAGGUUUAGUUCGAUUAGUAGUUCAAUUUUGGGGGUUUAGUUAUAAUUAGAUUUCCUUUUAAUAAUUCGAGCCUAUGUAAUUAAUCAUGGUCGGCAUUGACCAAGUUAAAAGGGGUUGAUAUAGUUGGAUUUAGUUUUAACUUAACGUAGGUUAGUAAUUUUAGGGGACAAUCAAGGGUAAUUGGGGUAUUUCUAUAGAGGAAUUUCUUAGUAACUGAAAGUAGAACCCCCUAGAACCUUCUAGAUUGGGGUUCUAAUUUGAAAUUCAGGAAUCGGGUGGUAUAACUUGGGUAACAAGUAAGGAUACUAAGGAAUUUUAAGCAAAAACUUAAAAUAAAAAAGGACUAAAAGCUAAAAUACAAUCUGGGACUUACCCUAAUUCCUUGCCUAUAAAGGCAUGCCUUCUUGCCUUGCAAGAAAAGAGAGAGAAAAAUUACAUUUAGAGAGAAUUUUUCGAAAACUAAAAAAAACUUGAGAGAAUACAGAACUGGAGGGCUGAGAUAUCCAAAAAUAAAGCUCCAAUCAGUUAAAACAAAAUCAAAAAAUCACUAUUUCAUUAAGUUUUUGCCUUGAAUUUUGAAAUUUUGAUUUGCUGAGGCUAUUCUCUGACUUCUGUGGGGUUUAAAAUGGAUUGAGAUCUUGGUAUAAAAAGUUUGGCUUUGGCUAUUUGCUUUUGUGGUGCAUUUGGGGUUUUAUGUUUGAAAUUAGGUCUGGGAUUUGAAGCUUGCUCUGCUGAUUUCUGUAUUGUUACCUUGUUGUAUUGCUGCUGCUGUUUCACUUUGAACUUCAACUCAUUUUCAUUGUUAAUUUGAUGUAAUCAGGUACCAAUUCCUGAAAUUUUUCAUGAUUUUGGCUUGAAGUGGAAAUGAAAUGUUGAAUUUGAUAACAUUAAUCUCCGUGGAUUGAAUUAGCUAAAUUCAUUCUGUGUAAAUGGCCUUAGUUCUGGAUUAAUUGAAAGGUUGUGGACUCAUUGUAUUAGGAGUAUUAUUAGUUUGUAUUAUAUAUGGC
rnacentral:lncRNA from 1 species